GCGCAGCAGGCGCGAAACCUCCGCAAUGCGGGAAACCGCGACGGGGGACCCCGAGUGCCGUGGCAACGCCACGGCUUUUCCGGAGUGUAAAAAGCUCCGGGAAUAAGGGCUGGGCAAGGCCGGUGGCAGCCGCCGCGGUAAUACCGGCGGCCCGAGUGGUGGCCGCUAUUAUUGGGCCUAUAGCGUCCGUAGCCGGGCCCGUAAGUCCCUGGCGAAAUCCCACGGCUCAACCGUGGGGCUUGCUGGGGAUACUGCGGGUCUUGGGACCGGGAGAGGCGGGGGGUACCCCUGGGGUAGGGGUGAAAUCCUAUAAUCCCAGGGGGACCGCCAGUGGCGAAGGCGCCCCGCUGGAACGGGUCCGACGGUGAGGGACGAAGGCCAGGGGAGCAAACCGGAUUAGAUACCCGCGUAGU
rnacentral:rRNA from 1 species